rnacentral:rRNA from 1 species
AACGAACGCUGGCGGCAUGCCUAACACAUGCAAGUCGAACGAGACCUUCGGGUCUAGUUGCGCACGGGUGCGUCACGCGUGGGACCCUGCCCUUAGGUUCGGAAUAACUCCCCGACAGGGGUGCUAAUACCGGAUAAUGUCUUCGGACCAAACAUUUAUCGCCUUUGGAUGGGCCCGCGUUGUAUUAGCUUGUUGGUAGGGUAAAAGCCUACCACGGCGACGCUCCAUAGCUGGUCUGAGAGGAUGCGCAGCCACACUGAGACUGAGACACGGCCCAGACUACUACAGGAGGCAGCAGUGGGGAAUAUUGGAAUAUGGGCGAAAGCAUGAACCAGCAAGGCCGCGUGAGUGAUGAAGGCCGGAGAGAAGUAAAGCUCGUUUACACGGGAUGAUAAUGACAGUACCGGGAGAAUAAGCUCCGGCUAACUCCGUG